UGCGUAGGCGGUUUUUUAAGUCAGAUGUGAAAUUCCCGGGCUUAACUUGGGGACUGCAUCUGAUACUGGAAGACUUGAGUGCAGGAGAGGAAAGUGGAAUUCCUAGUGUAGCGGUGAAAUGCAUAGAUAUUAGGAGGAACACCAGUGGCGAAGGCGACUUUCUGGACUGCAACUGACGCUGAGGCACGAAAGCGUGGGGAGCAAACA
rnacentral:rRNA from 1 species